AAAGGUGCAAAGGGAGCGAAAUGCCUGGUCGGGUAAGGGCGGACCAGAACGAAAGGCGUAAAGAUGUGGGAAAUGGGUAAACAACAGACUCGGUGAAAUUGUAAUGCCGGUGAAGAUGCCGGAUACCGGCGACAGGACGGAAAGACCACAUGGGGCUUUACGGUAGCUUGACAUUGGGUCGUGGUAUUACAUGUACAGGAGAGGUGGAAGGCUUGGAAACCAGGACGCCAGUUUUGGCGGAGCCAUCCUUGGGAUACCACACUUGUAGUACUGUGACUCUAACCGUAGGCCAUGAA
rnacentral:rRNA from 1 species